GGACUACUGGGGUUUCUAAUCCUGUUUGCUCCCCACGCUUUCGCGUCUCAGCGUCAGUCAUUGUCCAGAAGGCCGCCUUCGCCACCGGUGUUCCUCUCGAUAUCUACGAAUUUCACCUCUACACCGAGAAUUCCGCCUUCCUCUCCAAGACUCCAGCCUCGCAGUUUCGAGUGCACUUCCUAGGUUGAGCCCAGGGCUUUCACACCCGACUUGCACGGCUGCCUACACGCGCUUUACGCCCAGUAAUUCCGAACAACGUUUGCACCCUCUGUCUUACCGCGGCUGCUGGCAC
rnacentral:rRNA from 1 species